UUAACAGAAUUUGUCAUCCCUCGGUGGGUGCCCAUUGGCGUGCUGGUGGAAUGGCACCCCAUGACUGCUGACUGAGGCAGGGAGCAACCCUGGGUCAGAGCUGUGGGUCUUUGCAGGUAGGAGCAACUUCUUUUCAAGGUGAGAGAGCAAGGGAUGGCCCCAGCAGCUGCUGGAGCCUGUGUAAGCUCCAGGGAACUCCCAUCUCUGUCUCCCCGAAGUAGACGCAGCUCCCCGCAACUUGAACCGAGUUGAGAAGGAAAUGGGUCUAGAAACAUCCAGACAGCCUCAGCCGUUUGUUUGGACCCAGGAGCACACUCCACAGAGCCCUGGACAUUUCACAAGAGUGAUGAUGGACCCUCCUUUGUAGCAGAGGUAACCCAACAAGAUGGAGGGACAACUCCUUGGUGAGGAUUUUCCUGGGCUAUCGCCUCUUCUGUUGAUCUGUCUUGCUGCUGGGUAUGUUAUCCUAAACCUCAUUUGGUGCAAAUAUUUCUGUACAUGAUUUCUGAACUUGCAGAAGCCGGUCUCUCCGACCACCUACAAUGUGCAACUAAUAGCUCUGCACUCAGAGGUCCCAUGUUUCUUUCUUACCCAGCCCUAUAUUAGACAUGACGUGCAAGGUGACAGGAAGCACCCACAGUCCUACUGGUGUCUUAAGAUACAAAGUGGGGUAAAAUCUCUCUUAUCAGGUACCCUCCAUCUCCGAUGUCAGUCCUCACGGUUAGAGUUGUUGUUUAUGCCCUUUUUCGGCUGGUCAUCUGUGGCUGCAAAUCUACUGCCAGAACUUUGUAUGACAUAAGUAAGUAUAAACCUUCCAUCUAAAAUAUCACCGCAGUUCAGCAGGAAGUAGCUUGAUCACUGCAUCGCCCCCCUCCCAGAGAUACGGAAGGGUAAAAAUUGACAGUGGGAAAUAUGUAACAGAGGGAAUGGCCUGAAAAAAGGGUAAAAAUGUUUUCUGUCUUUUCAAAACCCUCUUGCCCUUUUUGAGAACUAAAACCUACAUCCCUGCCUCAGGUCAGUGGUCAGGAGGGGCAGGAGAGAGUCCUUUCUUAUUUGUGUCACAGGGUGGAGGUCAUGAUAUUGUUUUAGCGGAAGAUAGGAGUAUGGGAUUAAUCAGAACCUUUAAAAGCUCUGAACUUCUGCUUAGAGGCAGGGCAUUGGUACUCUGAGACAGGAGUCUGCCAACCUCAUUUGCCAGCAAAUUAGUAAACAACUCUUUCCUCAAAAAAAGGAAAAAAAAAAAGGACCGUGGUGAUAGCUACGUGAAGGAGGAAGAAAAUACUGGGCGCUGCAUGGUGUCAUUGUUGAUGGAAUGAAUGUCUCAGUGCUCUUCAUUUUUUAUCUCCACCUACAAACUUUGACCACUGCACAACUGAAUGAGUUUAUUAACUGUACUAAUUUUAGAAGCAUCAAAGAGAGUAUCCAACUCAAGUGAACCAGAAACUCAAGGAUUUAUUUUAGCUCGAUAUUUAACAUGCUAAAUGUUUUCACAUUAAACUUAACCUGUGGCUAAUUGGCCAACUACCCACAGUGCAAUUUGUAGGGUCACUUUUUUUCUCUGCCUCAAAUUCCUUGGCCU